UCGGGAAUUUUGGGCAAUGGGGGAAACCCUGACCCAGCAACGCCGCGUGAAGGAUGAAGUAUUUCGGUAUGUAAACUUCGAAAGAAUAGGAAGAAUAAAUGACGGUACUAUUUAUAAGGUCCGGCUAACUUCGUGCCAGCAGCCGCGGUAAUACGAAGGGGGCUAGCGUUGUUCGGAAUUACUGGGCGUAAAGCGCACGUAGGCGGAUUGUUAAGUCAGAGGUGAAAUCCCGGAGCUCAACUUCGGAACUGCCUUUGAUACUGGCAAUCUAGAGUCCGGAAGAGGUUAGUGGAAUUCCCAGUGUAGAGGUGAAAUUCGUAGAUAUUGGGAAGAACACCAGUGGCGAAGGCGGCUAACUGGUCCGGUACUGACGCUGAGGUGCGAAAGCGUGGGGAGCAAACAGGAUUAGAUACCCACGUAGUCCCUGAGCGGGCUGGCAAGGCGCAU
rnacentral:rRNA from 1 species